GACGAACGCUGGCGGCGCGCCUAAUACAUGCAAGUCGAGCGAGAACCCGGGACUUCGGUCCCGGGGACAGCGGCGAACGGGGUGCGUAACACGUGAGCAACCUGCCCCGAAGACCGGGACAAGCCGGGGAAACCUGGUCUAAUACCGGAUGUCCUCACCGAAUCGCAUGGUCUGGUGAGGAAAUGGAUUCCGCGUUCGGGAUGGGCUCGCGGUCUAUCAGCUUGUUGGUGGGGUAAUGGCCAACCAAGGCGACGACGGAUAGCUGGUCUGAGAGGACGAUCAGCCACACUGGGACUGAGACACGGCCCAGACUCCUACGGGAGGCAGCAGU
rnacentral:rRNA from 1 species